rnacentral:rRNA from 1 species
GACGAACGCUGGCGGCGUGCCUAAUACAUGCAAGUCGAGCGAGCGGAACCAACAGAUUUACUUCGGUAAUGACGUUGGGAAAGCGAGCGGCGGAUGGGUGAGUAACACGUGGGGAACCUGCCCCUAAGUCUGGGAUACCAUUUGGAAACAGGUGCUAAUACCGGAUAAUAAAGCAGAUCGCAUGAUCAGCUUUUUGAAAGGCGGCGUAAGCUGUCGCUAAGGGAUGGCCCCGCGGUGCAUUAGCUAGUUGGUAAGGUAACGGCUUACCAAGGCGACGAUGCAUAGCCGAGUUGAGAGACUGAUCGGCCACAUUGGGACUGAGACACGGCCCAAACUCCUACGGGAGGCAGCAGUAGGGAAUCUUCCACAAUGGACGCAAGUCUGAUGGAGCAACGCCGCGUGAGUGAAGAAGGUUUUCGGAUCGUAAAGCUCUGUUGUUGGUGAAGAAGGAUAGAGGUAGUAACUGGCCUUUAUUUGACGGUAAUCAACCAGAAAGUCACGGC